rnacentral:tRNA from 1 species
GCCGAUGUAGCUCAGUUGGUAGAGCAGGGCUUUCGUAAAGCUCAGGUCAAGGGUUCGAGUCCCCUCAUCGGCUCCA